AAACAAAGAGCGGAGAGGCGUCGGCGCGUCACGUGGUGGCGGUGUGGUGUGCAUGCGCUGUGAACAUCUGCCUUGGUGGUGACAAACUGGAAACACUGGGACUGUGCCUGGCCAAUUUCAUAUUUCACAGAUGAGGUGCUCGUGUGGGAACAGUGAAGACAGGCUGCUCCAAAAGGGUGGUGAGCUGGGAGUGGAGCCAUGUGGAAAUGAACAAAGCCACUAAGGAAGAACAUGUCAAGAUGAGAAAAAAUAAAUGGACAGCAGAAACUGGUGUAAUCUCAGGGCCAAAAUCUCUUACUCCAAGUUUUGAAAUGAGUAUUGGUAGAAGUUGGCUCCUCUUGAAAUCUGAGAAAUUAAAUUCAAAUCAUUUAAAUGAAACGGGCAGUCUGUAACAUAAACUGGGAGCUUAAUACAAAUGAAACCACCAUAACGUGUUGUGUCUCAUCUAAACACAUUAUUAUUCUCAAAGGCCUCUAUAAACAUUAAUAACUGAAUGAUGUUUUAACCUCUGAUUCACAAACAGAGGAUAAAAUUAAAAAUGGAAAAGGAUUAUACUUUUUUCUAAAUUGCAUUUUACUUGUGAGUUUGAUAGGGGGACAAUUGGCCUAGCAUAAACAGUAUCAUAUUUGUCGUGGCUUUUAAAGUGCAUCCAAUUAUAAUUUGAGUGAUAAACUAAUGCUGCUAACCAGGUUAGUGCAGCCCAGCUGGGCCCUGAAAUGUUUUAGUGAACACUGCUUGCUUAAUCCAAUAAUCUCUAAUCCAUAGCGUGGGAGAAAUGUUUCCAUCAGGAAGCUGAAGUAGUAAAUGUAUCAUGUCGUUUAGAAGAUUAUAGCCAGGCCUGCCUCUGCAGUCUGGUCUCAGAAGGACACUCUGUACCAAUUAUGUCCAGCUCUCUGCUAGGCUGAGACCAAAUCUCAGGAUAUUUGCAGCAGAGUGCUGUUCUGUCACCUCGGCACUGGGGUCGGAUUAAUUCCCCUUUUGUCACGCUAGUGUUAAUAACUUCUUACAUACGUCAGUAAAUGGUAACUGUUGUCCCUUGUCUUUUGCAAUUCACAAAGCAAGACUGGAAUAAAAGUUCUGAAUC
rnacentral:lncRNA from 7 species